GCCGGGAUAGCUCAGUCGGUAGAGCA
rnacentral:ncRNA from 3 species